CGCUUUUUGAUUAAUUAAUUGUUUUUAAAGGUUACUCUGUACUCCAUGUUUGUGUCCAUCAUGGCAUUUUUUGCCCAAGUGAGUGAUCCUGCCGUGGGAGGAACAUAUAUGACGCUGCUCAACACUCUCACUAAUCUUGGAGGUAAUUGGCCCACGACAUUAGCCCUGUGGUGUGUGGAGGGAUUAACCUUUAGUUCUUGUCUGGGUGGGGAGAAGGCGGAUGAGGGGUGUGGCACUAAGGAUGAGCAGGAGGCGUGUCUAGUAGGUGGAGGCUCCUGUUCUAACUACCUAGACGGAUACUAUGCUGAGACUGGGAUCUGUAUUCUUCUAGGUACAAUAUGGUUGGUAUUCUGGGGGAGUAAAACUAUCACUAGAUUACAAGAUGCUCCUCUAGACACCUGGAGAGUUGUUAAACAGAAACAAAAAUCUGAAGAUUAGAAUAAUUCGAUUUAUUUUGUUGUUAUUUUAUAAGUAUUUUUAUCGACGUUGCAUUUCUGUUGAAAUUUAAACCUGCGGUAAAAUCACUUUAAUUUGAAGGAGAAUGUGUCUUGUUUAUGUUUAACUGUGAUACUGACGAACGUUUAAUGUAAUUGAUUUUUAUCCAUGCCUUAGCAAUUCAAAAUAAUUUUGUUUCUGUAAAUUUUUUUUAAUUCAUGGCAUUUCUGCAAACCAUUAUGACCAGAUGAAGCAUGUCAAUAAUUUUGUUAUCCUUUAUUUGUUAUUGUUAUCUUUUCAUUAAAUAAACAUAUUAUCACUGAUCA
rnacentral:misc_RNA from 1 species